rnacentral:rRNA from 1 species
AGAGUUUGAUCCUGGCUCAGAUUGAACGCUGGCGGCAAGCCUCAUACAUGCAAGUCGAGCGAGAACGUUACUUCGGUAGCUAGUAAAGCGGCGGACGGGUGAGUAACGCGUAGGAAUCUACCUUUCAGCGGGGGAUAGCUCGGGGAAACCCGAAUUAAUACCGCAUACACCCUAAGGGGGAAAGAGGGCCUAUCCUUGGAAGCUCUCGCUGUUAGAUGAGCCUGCGUGAGAUUAGUUUGUUGGUGGGGUAAUGGCCUACCAAGACUACGAUCUCUAGCUGGUCUGAGAGGACGAUCAGCCACACUGGGACUGAGACACGGCCCAGACUCCUACGGGAGGCAGCAGUAGGGAAUAUUGGACAAUGGGGGCAACCCUGAUCCAGCUAUGCCGCGUGUGUGAAGAAGGCUCUAGGGUUGUAAAGCACUUUAGGUAAGGACGAAAAGAAUAUAGUUAAUACCUAUAUUCCGUGACUUAACUUACAGAAUAAGGACCGGCUAACUCCGUGCCAGCCGCCGCGGUAAUUC